rnacentral:sRNA from 1 species
CUUGUCCGCCCCGUGGACGCCUUGUCCACCCGGGCCCCGACCUGACCUAGUCUUGCGACGUGCGCCCUCGUGGUACGUGGCCACGGGUGGCGCAAAGCCGACAGCCGUCGCACUCCAGGGAGCCCCUAUAUG